UUAGCAGCGAUUACAGCCUCAAGUCUUCUUGGUUAUGACGCUACAAGCUUGGCACACCUGAAUUUGGGGAGUUUCUCCCAUUCUCCUCUGCAGAUCCUCUCAAGCUCCGUCAAGUUAAGGUGGCGCGUCGCUACACAGCAAUUUUCGACCUCACGGCUUGGUUUUUGCCCUGACAUGCACUGUCAACGGUCAGUGGGGUCAUCAGAGUCCAGGUUCAGGUCAGCGGGAUCAUCAGAGUCCAGGUUCAGGUCAGCGGGGUCAUCUACUCCUGGGCUUCCCCUUGUUUAAGCUGGGCCUCGUUGGAGCAGAGUGGUCUGAGAGAGGUUACUAUAGCACGUUCAUCCGCCUCUUGCUCGAAGUCUACUACCACCCAGAGGAUGCCCACAGCCACAAUGGCUGCAGGUCCCAGGAAGCUGGUGUUGAGGUGAAUGCUGUGAGGAAGAGCCAUCGGUAUGAGGUAGAGCUGCCUGAACACAGUCUGGAGAUGAUCCUAUUGAGAUGAAGCCUAGACGAGGAUGUAUAUCCACACCCGCCACCCCAGCCUGAAACGGGACCACCGCUGUUGUGAGGAGAUUAGAAUAUAUUGAAGAGCCGCCACCGCGGACAGAUGCCCACCCAGACAUGCCCACCCAGACCCUUCCCUAUGGGUUUAGGUUUAGCGGCUGGGGGGGG